rnacentral:piRNA from 1 species
GUGGAAACCCACUAUACUCUCAGGAUAAAGC